AUGAUAGUUACAGUGGCAUCCUUCUACAAACACUAAAACGUCUUUCUGUGUUAAAUUUUGAAGUUUCAAGUCAAACUGUUUGAUGAAAUUCUAAGAAAUAAUCUUCAACAGUACCGUUAAGUUUUGGGGGGUUGGAAUGAACAAAUGCCCAUAUGAAUACUGUUAUCACCGUAUGGGGUGGAAAUUUUUUUUUGAAGGGGACUUGCUUUUUUUCCUCUUAGAAAAUAGUUUUGUUUAAAUAACAAACGAACUGUAUGUUUGAAGUCUUAUUGACACAAAGAUACAUUGAUUUAUUUUGGUUUUUGCUACUCCUCCAAAAAGUAACCAUAAAGAAGAAACGAAGAAAACGCUGUUUCUCUUUUUAUUCGUGGAGACCUGGACUAAUGUGCAUAGAUUGAGAUUCCUUAUUUAUGAAACUACGUUUAAGAAGAUUUUUGAAAAAAGUGGCUGAGCGGUUAGUAUGCUUGUCUGUGAAGCCAAUAUCUGCAGGUUUGAAUCCCGGUCAGAGCAUGGAAGUUUAUCUCAGUGUGUUGCCUUCUGUAAUGUGUGAAUGUGAUCCACCCUAUGAAUGGGUAUCAUUGGCAGUGUGGCUCCUCCGUGACUUAGGUCACAAAGCUCUCACCAGGUAACGCAAAAUGAGCAACACUUCCAGUACUUUCCAUGGUGAAUAUCUGGCGAUAAAAAAAGAGUUGUUUAUUAAAAUUAUUUAGCUACAAGGGAAAUUUAUUUCUAAUUCACGUAAGAAGCACUGCUCCUGCUCUUUCCAACAAUCAUAUCCCAUAAUUGCUUCUCACGUGCUUUUUGUUUUGUUUUUUUUGUUAAAAAUUUAUAUUUUUACAAAACCAAACAACUCAUUGCUAUUUAUAAAGCAUAUAAUUAUUUUAACUUCAUGUAAAAACCUUUUCUCAAUAUAUUUAAGGAAGCAAAAUGUUAAUUGAACAAUUACCCAGUUUCGAAAAAUAACCAUCUGGGCAUAUGUAUAAGCAGUAUAAUGGAAAAACUUCUAUAUUAACACAUUUUCUGAUCCUUCUCAAACACUACUUAGAGAAUCAUUUCAAAAAUUUAAAAGUAUUUAGUGUUUAGGAUACGGAAUUUCUCAUACUUAUCAAUGAAAUUUAAAGCUUUUGGGGGUAUUGAGAGAGACAGACAAAAAAGUUACAAAUGGAAAGAGUGUUUUGGAACACCCAAAAUCAGUAAUACAUCUCAAAUAUCAUUUAAAUUGCUUCCCAACAUAAAAUUUUAAAUAAAAUUAGAAUAAAUACGUUUUAAGUCUUAGCGUUUUUUAAUAUCCAAGGAAACCAAGAUAUGAAUGGAAAUUAGACUCAGUUUGGCUACACCUUUUUAAGGAUGAUGCAAAUUUGAACGAUAUUUAGUUUCAAUGUACUCUAAAAUAUCUAUCAUUGUACUUUGUUAAAAUACAAUGAUAAUAAGCUUUAUUAAAAUAAUAAAUUUAAAAAAUAUUAAAUUGCGAAAAAAUAUAAGUCAAAGAGAAAUAUGUUCAAACGUAUAUAAAGUCAAAUAAUUACUAUUAAAAAAUUUAAAUAUUGAUUCAUUUUUAAUGAUAAGAACAAUUUUUUUGCAAGAAAAUAAAUAAUAAAAAUAAUGAAAACAUCGCAAUUACCACACUUUUAUCAAUUACGUAUUUCAUAUAUCUUAUUUUUCGUUAAAAAUUAAAUCUUUUAAAACAAAAGAGUAAGACCAAAAACUUUUAGUAAAAACCAUUAUUCAUUCUUCUUUUAAACUAUUUUACAUGUUUAAGCACAACAAAAUGCCGGUAUAAUUUACCUUUCUUCAAUGACGUGCGCUGCAAACUUAUUUUAUUUACGAAACGUUAAAAAAUAGAUAAAUUUAUUUUCGUAAAUAAGCCCUGUUCAACGUAAUGAUCUUAUCUAGGAGCGAAAGGGCUGUUAUAACAUUAUCUAAACAACAACAAGAAAUGAAUAUUUCAACAACUCCAGGAAGAAUGGAAAGGAUAAAACAAGGGGAAAAUAUUGGACGGUAAUAAAAGUGCCAGAGAAUAAAAAGAGGCCAGGAAAUUGUUUACUCUUUAAAGUCAUUUAUCACGUUUAUGUUUCAGUAUGUGUUUAGAAUAGUGCUUUUUUUUUUCCUUAAAAAUUUCAGCAACAGUGUAAUAUCUGCAUAAAAUUGCGUUGAUGAUAUCAAGCUUAGAGAAAAUGUAAUUAAAAAUUAAAUGAGUUUUCCUGUGAUGUGUUUAGUUUUGUGUUUAUGUUAUUAGUUUUAUUUUCCUUGAAAAUAAAGUGUUAGUUAUUUUCU